rnacentral:rRNA from 1 species
UACGUAGGGGGCAAGCGUUGUCCGGAAUCAUUGGGCGUAAAGCGCGUGUAGGCGGCUUGGUAAGUCUGCUCUGAAAGCCCGGGGCUCAACCCCGGGAGGCGGGUGGAUACUGUCAAGCUCGAGUCCGGAAGAGGAGUGUGGAAUUCCUGGUGUAGCGGUGAAAUGCGCAGAUAUCUGGAGGAACACCGGUGGCGAAGGCGGCGUUCUGGACUGCAACUGACACUGAGGAACGAAAGCCAGGGGAGCAAACGGG